rnacentral:rRNA from 1 species
CAAUAGCGUAUAUUAAAGUUGUUGCGGUUAAAAAGCUCGUAGUUGGAUUUCUGUCGAGGGCGGCCGGUCCGCACUACGUGCGUGUAUCUGGUUUGGCCUUGGCAUCCUCUUGGGGAACGUCUCUGCGCUUUAUUGCGUGGAGCGGUAUUCAAGACUUUACUUUGAGGAAAUUAGAGUGUUCACGGCAGGCCUUCGCCUUGAAUAUAUUAGCAUGGAAUAAUAAUAUAGGACCUUGGUUCUAUUUUGUUGGUUUGCACUCCAAAGUAAUGAUAAUAGGGAUAGUUGGGGGUAUUCGUAUUCAAUUGUCAGAGGUGAAAUUCUUGGAUUUAUGGAAGACGAACUACUGCGAAAGCAUUUACCAAGGAUGUUUUCAUUAAUCAAGAACGAAAGUUAGGGGAUCGAAGAUGAUCAGAU